GACGAACGCUGGCGGCGUGCUUUACACAUGCAAGUCGAGCGAUGAGAUCCCUUCGGGGAAGGAUUAGCGGCGAACGGGUGAGGAACACGUGAGGAAUCUGCCUUCAACACUGGGAUAACUCCGGGAAACCGGGGCUAAUACCGGAUACGAGACCUGCAGGCAUCUGCGGGUCUGGAAAGUUUUUCGGUUGAAGAUGACCUCGCGGCCUAUCAGCUUGUUGGUGAGGUAAUGGCUCACCAAGGCGACGACGGGUAGCCGGCCUGAGAGGGCGACCGGCCACACUGGGACUGAGACACGGCCCAGACUCCUACGGGAGGCAGCAGUGGGGAAUAUUGGGCAAUGGAGGGAACUCUGACCCAGCGACGCCGCGUGCGGGAUGAAGGCCUUCGGGUUGUAAACCGCUUUCAGCAAGGAAGAAGCGAAAGUGACGGUACUUGCAGAAGAAAGCACCGGCUAACUAUGUGCCAGCAGCCGCGGUAAUACAUAGGGUGCAAGCGUUGUCCGGAAUUAUUGGGCGUAAAGAGCUCGUAGGUSGGUUCGUCACGUCGGAUGUGAAAACUCUGAGGGCUUAACCCCAGACCUGCAUUCGAUACGGGCGAGCUAGAGUGUGGUAGGGGAGACUGGAAUUCCUGGUGAGCGGUGGAAUGCGCAGAUAUCAGGAGGAACACCAAUGGCGAAGGCAGGUCUCUGGGCCAUUACUGACACUGAGGAGCGAAAGCGUGGGGAGCGAACAGGAUUAGAUACCCUGGUAGUCCACGCCGUAAACGGUGGGCACUAGUUGUGGGAACCUUCCACGGUUUCUGCGACGCAGCUAACGCAUUAAGUGCCCCGCCUGGGGAGUACGAUCGCAAGAUUAAAACUCAAAGGAAUUGACGGGGCCCCGCACAAGCAGCGGAGCAUGCGGCUUAAUUCGACGCAACGCGAAGAACCUUACCAAGGCUUGACAUAUACAGGAAUAUGGCAGAAAUGCCAUAGCCGCAAGGUCUGUAUACAGGUGGUGCAUGGUUGUCGUCAGCUCGUGUCGUGAGAUGUUGGGUUAAGUCCCGCAACGAGCGCAACCC
rnacentral:rRNA from 1 species